rnacentral:misc_RNA from 1 species
CCAUAAGGCUUCGCCUUUGCGUUGAGUUUUCCCGCGAGGGAAUCCUCCAAACCUCUGGGCGUACGUCGUGCCUGAACCGCAACACAAUGCGAUUAGGGCUCUCGACGUGCGCCGAAAACCGUCAA